rnacentral:rRNA from 1 species
UGCGCAGGCGGGCGUGUAAGUCAGAGGUGAAAUCCCCGGCCUAACCGGGAACUGCCUUUGAUACUGCACGUCUUGAGUCUUGGAGAGGUUGCCGGAAUUCGUGGUGUAGCGGUGAAAUGCGUAGAUAUCACGAGGAACCCCUGAAGCGUAGGCGGGCAACUGGACAAGUACCGACGCUGAGGCACGAAAGCGUGGGGAGCGAACA